rnacentral:rRNA from 1 species
UGACCUCAAAUCAGGUAGGACUACCCGCUGAACUUAAGCAA